UACACUAAACACUACACACUAUACACUACACACUAAACACUGUACACUACAUGCUAUACACUACACACUAAACACUGUACACUACAUGCUUUACACUACAGCCUGCACACUACAUGCUUUACACUGCACACUUUAAACCGCAUGCUUUCAGACAUGGUAAUCGCACUCGGCUCCGCACCAAAACAAUCGGGCCGAGAUCAACUCGAACUCUGGACCGAUUCGCUUGGGGUGAGAACGCACUCGACUCCACAAAGCAACCUGUAUAGCAAUGCUCAUGGGAACUGCAUUACGUGUAUUAGCAAAACGUGUUUGUUUUGCUGACAUGAAUCGCGGUUUAACUCAGACCAAAGAUGAGAUGAGCUAACUGAAACAUGCUAGCAUCGCUCUGAUUGGCGAGGAGAAAGAACAUUGGUCCUUGUGACAUCAUCAGGAGUCAAACUCACAGCCUCAUGGCACAUGACUUUCAGGAUGAAGUUUGAACGCUGACACUGAAAUUCAGAGAUGAGUCCUAACACACUGAACUGUCAUGGUGAAACAGUGAUGUGUUUGGAGGAGCUCUGCUCCCCCUGCUGGUCUUUUCUCUCCUUUUCUCUUUUAGCUAAAAUGUUAUUAAAUUUUAUCAAAUAAAAAAUUUCCCCCAGUCCCUGUGCACUUCCAGUUGAUGAACAGAGCCUCCUCUGUCUGUCUGCACCUUCACAAAUGAAGGCUAUAAGAUGUUACAUGAUUAAUCACACUAAUCACACCAUUCACACUAAUCACACCAUUCACACUAAUCACAGUAAUCACACCAUUCACACUAAUCACACCAUUCACACUAAUCACACC